AUGAGAUUGCAGCAAAAAUGGAGGGAAGUAAUCUUAGAUUUCAGUCCUUUACAAAGAAUAUUCAAAAGGUUAAUGAUGAUGAUCCUCAUGCUGACGAUUUUCUUGUAAUUCCAAAUAGUUUCUUCGGUUCUUAUGGGCAGAUCAGUUUGGAUGUCGGCAUAUGGCGUUAUGGUGCAUAUCCUGCAUGCAUUCAGAAAAGAACCAGUGCAAAUUCUCAAAGAACUACCAGUACAAACAUGCAAAGUAGCACCGAUGCAAAUCUGCAAAGCAGUACCGAAACAUAGUUGAUAAUUUUGUUUCCAAGUAGCAUGUGCUCUUCACAUUGGCC
rnacentral:misc_RNA from 1 species